ensembl:lncRNA
AACGCGGUUGCCACAGCAACGGUGGGGCGUGUCCGGCCAGGCACCCGGAGCGGAGCGUUCAUCCCGCAGACGCAGAUGCUGUUGCUCCUGAGACGAGAGGGCCCUUGAGGUACCGAGCCAGACGCGGAAGUGAGGCCAGUUCUCGGGGGGCUCUGUGGGCUCCAGCUGCCUCGCGGUGGGGUUCCAGAUCCAACACCGCAAGGCCCUUGGCGGCACUAGAAUCCAUCAAUCAUCCGGGACCCCUUCGGUGCAGACGACCCUGUGGAUGGUCGACGGGGCGUGGGUGUCUCCAGCAGAGGGGCUUCAGCCGGAGAAAGCGGCUCGCAGAGAGUUUCCGCCCGCCUGCCGCCCGGAGGAGCAGAAGGGAGGGAGCCUGAGGCCAGCCCAUACCCCGCAAGGCUGCUGCUUGCUGAGCGCCCACCAGGAGCGGCCUGCGGCUGGGGUCCCUCCACCCUGAGCCUGCUCGUGGAGGGCCGUGGGCUCCCCGCCGCCCCUCACCUGAGAGGCACUCUCUGGGGAAGUGGGUGACCUGGAGGGGGCCCUGUGCAGGGGUCUCGGGCAGCAGUGAGUGGAGGCAGCCUGGCAGCCCUGGAGGACAGCGUGCUUCCUGGGACAGGGCGGCAGGAGCGAGAUGCCAGCAGCCUCAUGGUCUGAGCCACAUUCUGGGCGCGGGGCAGGGAGAGAAGAAGCACAGCGCACCUAGAAACGAGAGGGAGGCCAGCAGAGCGCCCCGGGGCAGCCGUCCACGUGAGCCGCCUGUACCAGUCCCGCCUGCCGGCGGGGGAGCUGCCCCGGCAGGGCCCAGCACACCCGCUACACGAGGACCAGGGCCUUGGCAAAGCUGGGGGUGCCAGAGGGCCUGCCCACCUCCAGGGGAGAUCCAGGCCGCGGCCCUGAUGGCAAGCCCCCCCUAGAAUGCCCCAGCUUUUGCCUCUGCAGGCCCACCUGGCCGGGGUCUGGGAGGACACUUCUCCUCCGGGCCGGCCGCCUCCCCGUCCCUGCGUGCUUCCCACUGUAAUGGAACUGCCCUGGGGAGUCAGGUCCCUGCUCUGAACCUCAGGAUCCUAAUCCAUAGAGAGCCUGCUUUCCUCAAGGGGUGCCAGGCUCGGCUGAGUGAAGUGCUGAAAAGUGAGGACAGGCAACCCCAGAGCUCACCCCAGAGCCCACCCCCCAUGCCUGGGCUUCAGGUUUCAACCCUUCUUGGAUGGACCUAGCAGAGAAGGGGCCCCAUUACCCCAGGACCCCCCAACUGUGCUCCUGGAGGGACCGUGAGUGUGGCAGCUUCUCAGGGUCCCAGUGCCGCCCAACCCCUCUCCCAGCCUGAUCUGCAGCCUCUCGGGCCAGGGCGGGAGUCCUGGGAGCUUGGCCACCCCGCUCCCACUUCCUGGUAGGCAGGAGCACAGGGGGAGGUCAGCAGAAAUUGCCGGUACCCCAGUCUUCCCUCCUCCCACCCUCCCGGUCUGGGGCCGGGUAGCACAAAGGGAAUCGCUGACCUUCCCAGAAGCCCCAGGGCCGGGCAGAGGAAGGGGACGUCCAGGUUGGGAGCUGGACCCCAGUGUUUCCCCAAGACUGGACAAAGGUCUGAGCUGGGGUCCCGGGGAAGGAACCCAAGGAAGGGACCACUCCUGACCUGGAGCACAGGGCAGUCUCACCUUCCCCACCAGGAAACCAGGUGACUCCACACCUCAUGGGGUCAAACCUUAGACCCUGGGGAAAGGUGACCCUCCUGCUCGGCCCCCUUGGUCCCUCCGCUCUGCCCAGAGGCUCCUGGGGCAAGAAGUCUGUGCCCUGGGGGUCUGGGGUGCCUGUGAGUGAGAGAUCAGGCAGAGGAGGCCGGCCAGCUCUCACCAGGGGGCAGGGGGCAACCAGCCAAGGCCUGGAAGUGCAGAACUCCUCCCCACACAGGAAGUUCUCGUGCAUGCAGAGUCUCGGGCCCCACCCGGGCCCCUGAGUCAGGAUCCCCUUUUGACAAGCUUCCCACUGAGGCCUUUUCCACUGGGCUUGAGAGACGCUCACCCAUCAAAACAGACGUGAACCAGCAGCAUGAGACGCUGGGACCCAGUCUCAGUCCCAGCUCAGACAAACCGCCUUUGAAAAGUCGUCUUUUGGACAGUAGGUUAAAUCUGUCUCCAGGCAGGUGACAUUAAAUAUAAUCAUGGCAUCGAGCUCGG